UGAGUAACACGUAUCCAAUCUGCCGUCUACUCUUGGCCAGCCUUCUGAAAGGAAGAUUAAUCCAGGAUGGCAUCAUGAGUUCACAUGUCCGCAUGAUUAAAGGUAUUUCCGGUAGACGAUGGGGAUGCGUUCCAUUAGAUAGUAGGCGGGGUAACGGCCCACCUAGUCAACGAUGGAUAGGGGUUCUGAGAGGAAGGUCCCCCACAUUGGAACUGAGACACGGUCCAA
rnacentral:rRNA from 1 species